UACGUAGGGACCGAGCGUUGUCCGGAAUCAUUGGGCGUAAAGAGCGUGUAGGCGGCCACUUAAGUCUUGCGUGAAAUCUUGCGGCUCAACCGCAAGCGGUCGUGGGAAACUGGGUGGCUAGAGUGCGGGAGAGGAGAGUGGAAUUCCUGGUGUAGCGGUGGAAUGCGCAGAUAUCAGGAAGAACACCCGUGGCGAAGGCGGCUCUCUGGAACGCAACUGACGCUGAGACGCGAAAGCGUGGGGAGCGAACAGG
rnacentral:rRNA from 1 species